UAGUUUCAGAAGGAUAGGCGUUAACUCUAAAUGUUUGGUAGAAUUCACCUGUGAAGCCAUCUGGUCUAGGACUUUUGUUUGCUGGGAGUUUUUAAAAUUACGGAUCCCUUUCUGAAGCCCACAGCACCUGUCUGGAAGCCCCCUCCACAAGCCGCUUCCUUUCCCACUCCCUUCAGGCCACACCAGCCCAGGGUUAGUUUCCCUACAUGCUGCCAAGACCUUUGUUAGUAUUCUACUUAUUAAACUCUUAAAUUCUCCCAAUUGGAGUGUGCCAUCUACUUCAUGCUGGGAUCAUAACUGAUACAAAUAAGCACUGAUCCACAGAGAUAAUAAAUAAGAGGGUUGCUGACCUCUUGGUGGCUAGCAAAGAUUAAAAAGGGGCUGAAUUAGCCCAGGCAAAGCAUUACUGUCUAAAAUCCCAGCCCAAACCUUCCUUCAGGAAACCUGCCCUUCUGCCUCUGUGAAUGUUGCCCCAUCUCUGGAUGGUUUUAGCCCUUUCAGGUUCAAAGCCCUAAGCCUCUGCAUGUCAGGCUGGGAGCACCCCGUGAUUGGUUUGGCAUGUGUUUUGGAGAGUAACUUGGAUCCAGCAGUGGGGAGAUCUUUUGCUGAAAGUCACAGGAUAUGGAAUGUGAAUCAUUGAUUUUUCCAGUGUGUCUCUAACAUGACCCUUUUAUUACUUGACUCAUAGCUGGUACAUGUGUUUUAGGAAAAAUGACUGUUGUUAUGGAAAAUCUGUGUCCCCUCAAAAUCCAUAUGUUGAUGUCCUAAUGCUCCAUGGUGAGUAUUUGGAAAUGGGCCUUUGGGAGAUAAUUAGGGUAAGAUGGGGUCAUGGGGGUGGGGCCCUCAUGAUGGGAUUAGUGCCUUUAUAAGGAGAGAAGCCAGAGAGCUUGAUGCUCCCUCACCCUUUACCCUUUGCAGACACACACCACAGAGAGCUCAUGUGAGCACACAGCAAGACAGCAGCCACCAACAAGCCAAGCCAGGAGAAAAGGGCCUUAGAAUGAAACCUACCUUGCUGGCACCUUGAUCUUGGACUUCCCAGGACCUCCAGAACUGGGUUACGACUGGAAAGUCUUGGUUGCACUUUCUGUCACUGGUGCAGAAAGAACGUCCCCAGGAAUGGCCAGUGGCCUUUCGCCCGUGACAAGGCCACACAAACAGCAGUCUUCCUCCUGCGCCGGGUGGAAAGCCUGCUCCGGGACUGCUCGGCGUGCAAGGCACCGCGAGGACGGGAGGACGUGAAGGCUUCUAAAUGAGUAUUCUGAGCUCUUACGGCACCCACCCUUUGUGCUCAUCUGGAAGAAAUCUAUGGGGACCAGACAAAAGUCAGAUGGAGGUCCCUGCCACGAACAGAUUUACCCAGCCCACACAGGAAUGAAUACAGUACUCUAAGAGCUGAUUCCCCCAAAUGUUCUGAACAUUCCUGGACAUUUGACUUGCUUUUCUUGUGGGAUAAGAUAGACAGACAAUAAACAAGAUAAGCCAGGAGAAGCCUGGGUGGUCAGCUGGGCCCUGGGUGACAAGCCAGAGUCAGCCGUGCAGAAACAAGGUGGAGACAAAGCCAGGUGGAGGGAACAGGGGGCACAGAGGCCUUAGGUGGGAGUGAGCUUUGUUUGUUUCCAGGAAGAAGAAGGCCUGAGUGUCAGAGAGGAGUGUGGUGGGAAAUUGGGGCAGUGGUACCAUGAUCUGAUCUGUGUUUUAAGAAGGUCACCCUGGUUGCCGGGCAGAGGAGGGGAGUUUUUAGGAGAUGUAUGGGAGUAUUUUGGAGAUUACUGGUGGUGAUGGCUUGGAUAGGAAGAGUGACGGAGGAAAUGGAGAGGAGUGGACGGGUCUGAGAGAUGUUUUAGGGGCUGAGCGGAUGGAAUCUGCUUGUGGGGUGGACACAGGUGAGAGGAAGACAGAAAUCAAGGGUGUCUUCUAGAUUUAUGGCUUGAGCAACAUGGUGAACGGUUAUGCCAUUUACCGAGCUGGGAGAGACAGAGAAGCAACUUUGCGGAGAGAUCAAGAAUUCUGUUCUGGACACACGUGUGCUAAGCCUCGAAGGAGAAAUGAGGGAGCAACUGAACCUGCUGUUCUGGGAGUGCUUCAGGAUUGGGAGCCAGUGGGGCCGGGAGGGGCUGAGGUGGGGGGACUGGGGGUCAGAAGGAAAGUCAGAGGAUGCUUGCAGUUACUGGUGAUCAGUGAUGUGGGGUGAGCGUGGGAGUGAAUGGUGAGGUGGGGGAAGAGGUCUGAGAGGUGAGCUGUCAAGGAGCAGAGGGGCCACACGCUGGGAGGAUCAGCCCCAUGGAUGUUGAAGUUGCCAAGAAUGGAGACAGGAGUAGAGGCCAAAGAGAAGAGCGUGAACAAGAAGCCACAUGGUCACAAAAGGUGGUGCCUCUGCAAACAUUAAAAACCCUACAAUUCCCCACGACUCCGGGGACAGGGCUCGGUGGGGAGGAGGAGGAGUCACAGGCGGAAGGAUACGUGGGCUGAGCGAUGCCUCUGAGGGUGCCUGCUGCCCUGAGUCCCCGAGUUUCUAGGAUGCCAUACGGCAGCAGAAACCAGACGGGAGGCUUCCAGCUUCUGGGUAUUGCUACCACCAGAGGAGGCUGCUUUGAAGUCAUGAAAGUCUGUUAGGACAGGAUGUGUGCAGAGCGUGUGGGAGGGAAGGGGGGAAAUUUCUGGAGGGAGGCAGAUGCCGGGGAGGAGGGGCAGUACCUUCUGAACAGUCCCCGCUCUGCAGGAAGCCUGCGCCUAGGCCUCCUUGUCAGGCCCGCGUACAGCCUGCACCUCCAGCCUCCUCUAGCUGGGUACCAGGGAUGCCCUCCCCAUGAGCCUCUGCUACCCUCUCUGCUCCCCAGCGGCUUGUGAGAGGCUUGCCCCCUAGAGGGAUGGCAGCCGGGGCCUCAGGGAGCCUUUUUCCCAAGAUCGCCUGGAGCUUGAGGAAAGACUCCCCCGGGAGGCCAGCAGCGCCCAGUCCCCUCACAGGCUGCUGCAAGGGACAAAAGAAGUGGAAUUUUCUUGGGAGCCUCCAAGUUCAGGCAGAUGGUCCCCAAGACUUCGCAGGAACUGGGCUGAGAGGAGGACAGACACAUGCCAGGAUGAGGCCAAGGGAAGGACAAGAAGGGCAGGCCCUGGAUUCUCGCCAGCCCCAACGGCACCAAGGAUCCCUCCCCUCCAGUUCAAGGUUUUCAGAACAUCUGUCUUUUCUACUUACCACCGACUU